rnacentral:rRNA from 1 species
UACGAGGGGUGCAAGCGUUGUUCGGAAUUAUUGGGCGUAAAGGGCGCGUAGGCGGCGCGGUAAGUCACCUGUGAAAUCUCCCGGCUUAACUGGGAGCCUGCAGGCGAAACUGCCGUGCUGGAGUAUGGGAGAGGUGCGUGGAAUUCCCGGUGUAGCGGUGAAAUGCGUAGAUAUCAGGAGGAACACCGGUGGUGUAGACGGCUUUCUGGAUCAUAACUGACGUGAGACACGAAAGCGUGGGUAGCAAACAGG